UGGUGGUGGCGGUGGUGGUGAUCGCCGAGGACAGGCUUUAAAGGACUUGUUAGACAGAGCAAAUCAUUUGAAAGAUCAAGAUGAUGAAAACGAGCUCCUAUGGGUUGCUAUAAUAAGUCUAAUAAGAUAUUACAUUCAGCAACACCGGCAACAGCAACAGCAACACCAACAGCACCAUCCUCCUCCUCAUCAUAAAUAGUAGAGCGGACAUGGUGACAGAUAUUUAUGGAUCCGUAAAAGACAGAGCCUCUCGCUACCCAGUUCUUUCAAUUUUUUUAAUUUCCUUUUUAAUGUACAUGAAUAUUCAAAUGACUUCAAUUUCUUACUACAGUGAUAGCUAGCUUGUACCUUAAAUAUUGAAAAACAUGAAAUAAACCGAGUAAACUGUAUAA